rnacentral:rRNA from 1 species
ACAAUGGACAAGUCGAGCGGUCAGCACGGGUACUUGUACCUGGUGGCUAGCGGUGGACGGGUGAGUAAUGCCUAGGAAUCUGCCUGGUAGUGGGGGAUGACUUCCGGAAACAGGCGCUAAUACCGCAUACGUCCUACGGGAGAAAGUGGGGGAUCUUCGGACCUCACGCUAUCAGAUGAACCUAGGUCGGAUUAACUAGUUGGUGAGGUAAUGGCUCACCAAGGCUACCAUCCAUACCUGGUCUGAGAGGAUGAUCAAUCACACUGGAACUGACACACGGUCCAUACUCCUACGGGAGGCAGCAGUGGGGAAUAUUGGACAAUGGGCGAAAGCCUGAUCCAUCCAUGCCUCGUGUGUGAAUAAGGUCUUCCGAUUGUAAAGCACUUUAACUUGGAGAAGGGUAUUACGCUAUACGGAGUAUUUUGACGUCGACGRAUACACCGCUAAUUGUGCCAGCACGCGGUAAUACGAGGGUGGCAAGCGUUAUCGGRAUUACCUGGGCGUAAAGCGCGCGGUCAGGUGGUUUGUGUAACGUUGGAUGAUAAACCCGGGCUCAACCGGGAACUGCAUCCAAACUGGCGCUAGAUAUUAGGGGUGGUGGGAAUUCGUAGCGGGAAAUGCGUAGAUAUAUGUAAGGAACACCAGUGGCGAAGGCGACCACCUGGACUGAUACUGACACUGAGGUGCGAAAGCGUGGGGAGCAAACAGGAUUAGAUACCCUGGUAGUUCACGCCGUAAACGAUGUCAACUAGCCGUUGGGAGCCUUGAGCUCUUAGUGGCGCAGCUAACGCAUUAAGUUGACCGCCUGGGGAGUACGGCCGCAAGGUUAAAACUCAAAUGAAUUGAUCGGGGGCCCGCACAAGCGGUGGAGCAUGUGGUUUAAUUUGAAGCAACGCGAAGAACCUUACCAGGCCUUGACAUCCAAUGAACUUUCCAGAGAUGGAUUGGGGCCUUUGGGAACAUUGAGACAAGAGAUGCAUGGCUGUUGUCAGCUUCUUUCGUGAGAAGUUGGGUUAAGUUCCGUAACGAGGGCAACCCUUGUCCUUAGUUACCAGCACGUUAUGGUGGGCACUCUAAGGAGACUGCCGGUGACAAACCGGAGGAAGGUGGGGAUGACGUCAAGUCAUCAUGGCCCUUACGGCAUGGGCACACACGUGAUACAAUGGUCGGUACAAAGGGUUGCCAAGCCGCGAGGUGGAGCUAAUCCCAUAAAACCGAUUGUAGUCCGGAUAGCAGUCUGCAACUCGACUGCUUGAAGUCGGAAUCGCUAGUAAUCGAGAAUCAGAAUGUCGCGGUGAUUACGUUCCCGGGCGUUGACACACCGCCUGUCUCACCAGGGGAGUGGGUUGCACCAGAAGUAGAGUAGUCUAACCUUCGGGUGGACGGGUCACUCAGUUGG